rnacentral:rRNA from 1 species
GAUGAACGCUGGCGGCGUGCCUAAUACAUGCAAGUCGAGCGGACGGACGAGAAGCUUGCUUCUCUCAUGUUAGCCGCGCACGGGUGAGUAACACGUGUAUCACCUACCUAUAAGACUGGGAUAACUUCGGGAAACCGGAGCUAAUACCGUAUAAUAUUUUGAACCACAUGGUUCAAAAGUUAAAGACGGUCUUUCUGUCACUUAUAGAUGCAUCCGCGCUGCAUGAGUUAGUUGGUAAGUUACCGGCUUACCAAGGCAACGAUGCAUAGCCGACCUGAUAGAGUGAUCGGCCACACUGGAACGGAGACACGGUCCUGAGUCCUACGGGAGGCACCAGUAGCGAAUCGUACGCAAUGGGCGAAAGUAUGACGGAGCAACGCAGAGUGAGUUAUGAAGGUCUUCGGAUCGUAAAAAUGUGCUAUGAGUGAAGAACAUAUGUGUAAGUAACUGUGCAGAUCGUGACGGUACCUAAUAAGAAAGCAACGGCUAACUACGUG